GUUCGCCGGAAGACCAAGGGUUCCUGUCCAACGUUAAUCGGGGCAGGGUGAGUCGGCCCCUAAGGCGAGGCUGAAAAGCGUAGUCGAUGGGAAACGGGUUAAUAUUCCCGUACUUGGAUAAACUGCGAUGUGGGGACGGAGCAGGUUAGGUUAUCGCACUGUUGGAUAUGUGCGUUUAAGUUGGUAGGUGUGAAGUUUAGGCAAAUCCGGACUUCUUUAACACUGAGAGAUGAUGACGAGGCUCUACGGAGCUGAAGUAACCGAUACCACACUUCCAGGAAAAGCCACUAAGCUUCAGGUUUAUCUAAACCGUACUGAAAACCGACACAGGUGGUCAGGUAGAGAAUACUCAGGCGCUUGAGAGAACUCGGGUGAAGGAACUAGGCAAAAUAGCACCGUAACUUCGGGAGAAGGUGCGCCGGCGUAGAUUGUAGUCCCUUGCGGGCGAAGGUUGAACCGGUCGAAGAUACCAGCUGGCUGCAACUGUUUAUUAAAAACACAGCACUCUGCAAACACGAAAGUGGACGUAUAGGGUGUGAUGCCUGCCCGGUGCUGGAAGGUUAAUUGAUGGUGUAAUCGAAAGAGAAGCUCCUGAUCGAAGCCCCAGUAAACGGCGGCCGUAACUAUAACGGUCCUAAGGUAGCGAAAUUCCUUGUCGGGUAAGUUCCGACCUGCACGAAUGGCAUAAUGAUGGCCAGGCUGUCUCCACCCGAGACUCAGUGAAAUUGAAAUCGCCGUGAAGAUGCGGUGUACCCGCGGCUAGACGGAAAGACCCCGUGAACCUUUACUAUAGCUUGACACUGAACAUUGAAUUUUGAUGUGUAGGAUAGGUGGGAGACUAUGAAGUAGUCACGCCAGUGAUUAUGGAGUCGUCCUUGAAAUACCACCCUUUAACGUUUGAUGUUCUAACGAAGAUUACGAAACGUGGUCUCGGACAGUGUCUGGUGGGUAGUUUGACUGGGGCGGUCUCCUCCCAAAGAGUAACGGAGGAGCACGAAGGUUUGCUAAUGACGGUCGGACAUCGUCAGGUUAGUGCAAUGGUAUAAGCAAGCUUAACUGCGAGACAGACAAGUCGAGCAGGUACGAAAGUAGGUCAUAGUGAUCCGGUGGUUCUGAAUGGAAGGGCCAUCGCUCAACGGAUAAAAGGUACUCCGGGGAUAACAGGCUGAUACCGCCCAAGAGUUCAUAUCGACGGCGGUGUUUGGCAC
rnacentral:rRNA from 1 species